rnacentral:SRP_RNA from 1 species
GUCGGGGACCUCUUGGAAUCAAUACGGUUGAACCAGGUCAGAGUCGGAAGGCAGCAGCCUUAAGACCUCAUUGUUUGCCAGGAGCCCUCUCCGACAUU